rnacentral:sRNA from 1 species
CAGAACAAAACAACAGGCUCCCAAGUUCCUCAGCCCCAAGCACGGGACCAUACAGGCAUAUCUAUAGCCUGAGGAAUUCACUGAGAACCAGAUAUUUGAGACCCAGGGUGGGAUCCAAGCUCAAGGCUUGCUGUG